rnacentral:rRNA from 1 species
AAUGAACGCUGGCGGCGUGCCUAACCCAUGCAAGUCGAGCGAGAAAUCCCUUCGGGGUGAGUAAAGCGGCGGACGGGUGAGUAACACGUGAGAAUCUGCCUCGUAGUGAAGAAUACCUUUGAGAAAUUAAAGUUAAUGCUGCAUGAGCCCUUCGGGGGAAAGACGUCUUUUAUGUCGUCGCUAUGAGAUGAGCUCGCGGACUAUCAGCUAGUUGGUGGGGUAAAGGCCUACCAAGGCUAGGACGGUUAACCGGCCUGAGAGGGUGUACGGUCACAUAGGCACUGAGAUACGGGCCUAACUCCUACGGGAGGCAGCAGGGGGGAAUAUUGCACAAUGGGCGGAAGCCUGAUGCAGCCAUGCCGCGUGUAUGAGGAAGGCCUUCGGGUUGUAAAGUACUUUCAGUUGUGAGGAAGUAUUUAGGGUGAAUAGCCUUAUAUAUUGACGUUAGCGACAGAAGAAGCACCGGCUAACUCCGUGCCAGCAGCCGCAGUAA